GCGCCUUCCUCAACCCAGCUCCUGGAGGUUACGGUUCUGAGGCGGGGCGGGCGGCCUCGUGGACGCGAUGCUGAGGAUGUGAGAAGUGCAGUGCGGAGGAGGAGGUGGAGCUCCGCCGCUCCAUGAAGGAAGCCGGGGCUGGCCGACCGCGCCCCCCAGCACUCCUGGCCCGGGGGUCCCAGUCUCCGAACCCGCGGAGGCCAGGGAAGCUGGGAGUUGGGGUCUGUCCUGCCUGAGCCACAGAGGAAGGGGGAGAACGGGAGGGCAGGAGACGGCAAAGGAAGGAAGAAGAGGACCCAGGAAAUGCGAGGCUUCCGCACUUCAGCGACGCUUUCACUUUCCGAGCUGUUUUGUGUGCUUAGGACUUGCUCUUCUGCAGAAUUCUUUGCCACUCCUCAUGGCUGCUGGCAAGGUUAUUGGCCUGCGGUGAAUUUACCAAUCACCUCCACUGUCACAGUCACCAUAAAUAGAUGCUCAAUGUUCUGCCUCAGAAAAGCACCGGAACACUUAAUUGUCUUGUCCUUGAAAGCCGCAGGGACCGUGCCUUCCAACAUCCCUACCCCCGCCCUCCCAACGGUUGUGACAUGGGAGGAUAUUUCUUCACCCUUAUUUCAGAAAAUGUUAUCACCCAAAACUCUUUACUAUAAUGAGCUUGUGUACUCUUAAAACAAGGCAUGGUAAUGACAAUUUCAAAAAUAAGAUGUAAAAUAUAAAAAAAGAGGCAAGGCAGAAUAAAAUUAAAAGUGAUGGAAAUGUAGGAUUGAGAAGAUGGAGUGGAAGUAGGGAAGAGUGAAUUGCUCCCUCCUAAACUCUGACAAUUAAAUAAAAUCUGGGGCAAUCGCCCCUCUCUGAACAUUGAAGGGUGGGGCCUGUGAGGAGGAAACUCCAGUUAGGUGAUAAUCCAUAGGUGUGGUUGCUAUAAUAACCACCGCAGGCAAGGAGAGGUUAUAAAUAUGAAUGACCUAAAGUAACUCUGCUUGCCAGGAACUUACAAGAUGCAGCAGGUUGGAUGAAGGAAACUAAACAUUACCAGUGUCUUUCUACAUAAAUGCUUCAUUAGUAGAGGUGAA
rnacentral:lncRNA from 10 species